UGAACCUCGCUUUCCCUGGGUCUCAAGAGAGGAAAUGCUUUUCUCUUUCACAAGGUUCUUCACCCACGGGGCGACUUUCUUUUCCUCUCGAUGUCAUCCUGUUACACAGGCAGGAAGUUCUGUUCACUUGGCUGUUGGGAAGACUUCUCCUGCCCCGCGGUCACAAAACAACAAAUAAAACGAAUUGACCCAGAAGUUAGGCAAUCAAAGAGGAGCCGAAAUCGCUACUUGAUAAAGCCUGUAGAUUGAAGAAAGCGGACUAUCAUUCCUGCGUGGUGACCCGCAGGCUGGGAAGCUGGAUCUGUGUUUGUCUAAUUGCUUUGGAAACACGUCAAGGCUCAGCGCUUCGGGAACUAUGAUGAUGAUCAGUCUUCUGCACAGCUUAAUAUUUUCAUCAGUGACAUCGACCACAGCUGGAAAUAAAGAAAGAAGAUGCAGGACAUCUCAUGAUGAAAAGAGCCACAGACCAUGCACUACUCAGAACAAGGAUCUUAUCAUGUCUAACUUUGUAUCUCCAAACUCAGCUAAAGCUUCCCCUUCAGUAAUCUCACAAGCAGACUGUGUGCACAAGAUAGCAUCUAAAGAAAGAUCAUGAGGAGUCAACAAGCCUGCAAGCAGUGGGAGAUGGUGAAGAAUCUGACCCCCUUUCUCAGUGAUUAACUGAGAUUAUUUCCCCUUUUCCCUUUAACACUUUCAUGGCCACGCAGAAUCUUUGGAGUUGGUUCUGGGACACCAGUCCUCCUUCUCCCCUGGUUGCCAGCCUCCUGAAUAAAGCAACAUUUCCUUUUCUACCCAACCCUUGUCUCUCGAGUAUUGGCUUUCGAGCAAGUUUGGUAACACUAAUUCAGGAUACCAGGAGCGAGUCCAGGGUGUUACCUGUACUCCGGACCAAUUGGCUAUAAACCAGAUUCCUACGACCCCCUCCUUGGGUUCGAUUAAUUUGCUAGAACAGACUCAGAGAAACAUGUUACUUACUAGACCACUGACUUAUUAUAUAAGGAUUUUAAAGGGUAUGAAAUCAACAGCCAGAUGAGGAGAUGUACAGGGCAACGGAUGGAGAAGGGGAUAGAGCAUCCACGCCCUCUCUGGGGGGCACCACUCUCCCCAAACUCUACCUGCUCACCAGCCCAGAAGUUCUCCAGAGCCUGUCCUUCCAGGUUUUAUGGAGGCUUCAUUACACAGGCUCGAUUGAUUAAAUGAGGAGAAGGAAGCUUCACAAAGCUCAUCCCUGAUUCAUCCUGUGCAGCUGUGUCAGAUGGUAGUUUCCAAAAAUAGCCCCAGCAGUAUUUCCAGCCCCAUAUGUUCUCUCUGCACUUUGCCACACCCCACAGAGAGGCAGAAUCUGUUUCGCCUUCCUUAGAAUUGGGUAAGACUCUGCGGCUGCCUUGACAAGUGAACAAGGUAGAAUUGAUACUAGAAAUUCAGGGUCUGAGUCAUCAAAAAAAUAAUGGCUUCUACCUAGCUCUGCUGUUCUUGAAACACUAGCCCUUGGAAGCCGUCGCAUGCUGUGAGGAAGCCCAGUGUAGUAGCCCCCAUUGAGCGAUUACUUGGAGAGGAGCCCAGGCCACCAGUCAACAGCCCAAAUCAGCUGCUUGUCUUCCAGCUGAAGCCCCAGGCAUCACGGGGCUGAGAAAGGCCACCUCCGCUUUGCCCGUCCGCACCCCUGACCCACAGAAUCUAUAAGCAAAAUAAGUGGUGGUUUUAUGCCGUAAAGUUUUGAGGUAAUUUGAUUCCCAGCCACAGUAACUGGGCCGGGAUUGGGGAAAUAACAAUGAAUAGCAACAAAUAACAAUGAGGGGGACCACUCCCCGCAACUGUCUACAUCAUCAAGAAAAUUACAGAGACACAGACCUACUAGUGAGUUUCCUAAGGAAAGUGGGCCUUGCUCUCUCUGUGGAAUGGUGGGGAAACAGGGCACCCAGGUUCUGGUGAAGUCCCUUUCAUUUUCUAAGGAGAUUCAUCCCUACUUUUGAUGUUAAAGCAUCUGUGUACACCCUCAUUGGCUGUUGGCAAAAAUACAGUCAUUUGUUUGCACAACUUAAUGUUUAUGAAAGUUGCCUAAAGAUGAUUUGAUUCCCUACUUCUCUCAA